CGAGCGCAGCGAGAGAACGUUGCGUCAGCAACGGCCCGCAGGGCGAGCCACGCAGUGGCGAGUCAUCCUCUAUCACCGACCA
rnacentral:sRNA from 3 species